GACGAACGCUGGCGGCGUGCUUAACACAUGCAAGUCGAACGGUGAUGCUCCAGCUUGCUGGAGUGGAUCAGUGGCGAACGGGUGAGUAACACGUGAGCAACCUGCCCCAGACUCUGGAAUAAGCGCUGGAAACGGCGUCUAAUACUGGAUACGAAACUGGCCCGCAUGGGCAUGGUUUGGAAAGUUUUUCGGUUUGGGAUGGGCUCGCGGCCUAUCAGCUUGGUGGUGAGGUAAUGGCUCAACAAGGCGACGACGGGUAGCCGGCCUGAGGGGGCGACCGGCCACACUGGGACUGAGACACGGCCCAGACUCCUACGGGAGGCAGCAGUGGGGAAUAUUGCACAAUGGGCGAAAGCCUGAUGCAGCGACGCCGCGUGAGGGAUGACGGCCUUCGGGUUGUAAACCUCUUUCAGCAGGGAAGAAGCGAAAGUGACGGUACCUGCAGAAGAAGCACCGGCUAACUACGUG
rnacentral:rRNA from 1 species